rnacentral:rRNA from 1 species
UGGGGAAUAUUGCACAAUGGGCGCAAGCCUGAUGCAGCCAUGCCGCGUGUGUGAAGAAGGCCUUCGGGUUGUAAAGCACUUUCAGCGAGGAGGAAGGUGGUGAGCUUAAUACGCUCAUCAAUUGACGUUACUCGCAGAAGAAGCACCGGCUAACUCCGUGCCAGCAGCCGCGGUAAUACGGAGGGUGCAAGCGUUAAUCGGAAUUACUGGGCGUAAAGCGCACGCAGGCGGUUUGUUAAGUCAGAUGUGAAAUCCCCGGGCUCAACCUGGGAACUGCAUUUGAAACUGGCAAGCUAGAGUCUCGUAGAGGGGGGUAGAAUUCCAGGUGUAGCGGUGAAAUGCGUAGAGAUCUGGAGGAAUACCGGUGGCGAAGGCGGCCCCCUGGACGAAGACUGACGCUCAGGUGCGAAAAGCGUGGGGAGCAAAACAGGAUUAGAUACCCUGGUAGUCCACGCUGUAAAACGAUGUCGAUUUUGGAGGUUGUGCCCUUGAGGCGUGGCUUCCGGAGCUAACGCGUUAAAUCGACCGCCUGGGGAGUACGGCCGC